UUUUAAGGUUCCUCCUUUUACGGUUCCUCCAUGUUUUCUCAUGGAUUAAAAGCUCAUUUCUUUUUAUCACUGAAUAAUAUUCUAUCGAAUGAACCUACCACAGUUUAUCCAUUCACCUUUGGAAGGAUGUCUUGGUUACCUACAGUUUUUGUCAGUUAGGAACAAGCUGCUAUAAACAUUCAUCCACAGUGCAUGGUUGUAUAUCCUAGUUGUAAGUCCUUCUAGUACUUCUGUGUGAGCUCCCACCACAGCAUGGCAGCUGACAGACCCUCAGGAACCGAACUGGGAGGCAGAAGUGACCUGCAGGGGAAUUAUUUUUCAUGUGUGAUGUCACAUGGGGACCAAAAUUCUUUCUUCCAUAUGGACAUCCAGUUAGCGCAGCACCAUAUAGUCAAAGAUCUUCCUUGCCCCAAUGUACUGCAGUGUUAACUUUGCUGGAAAUCAGGUGACCAAUUGUAGGUCCUUCUAGUUGUGGCAUGCAGGAGGCUGCCUCAACAUGGCCUGAUGAGCGGUGCCGCAUCCGUGCCCAGGAUCCAAACCAGCAAAAUCCAAGACAGCUGAAGCAGAUUCUUUGAUGAAGUUCUGAGGGAAUACAAAGAGUUACCCAGCAUGUCCACGGCAGGUAGACUCUUGCCCUAAGACUGGCUUUGGAACCAUCUGAGGAGCUGCUGGAAGCUGUUGCAACAUUGGUGGUGCCCUGUGAACAGAUCUCUGGUGACCAACAAAGAGCUUCUUGGCUCACAGAUGGAAGUUCCAAGAUGAGCAGACAGCAUCUUGUUUGGAAGGCUGCCACUCUGACUGAAAAAGGCAAAAACAAAUCAAGUAUAUUGGGAAAUGGAGUUAAAAGCCUCCUAUCCUUAUCCCGCCCUGUGUCCUCCAAACGUUAGGCAUAUUCAUGUUGGACUCCUGCUGCCUAUGUUAUAUAAAUGCUACACCAAAUGGAGGUGCUCAGACAGGUUUGAUCAUUCUGUUAUAAGGGAACCAUGCCCAAAGACCAGGGGGUGGCCUCUGUUUAUAAGAAAGAACUUGUCUGGUCUUUGUCCUGAGUUCCUGGAACAGAGCUUCUAGAGCUUGAAAUUUCCUGGGUGAUCAGAGUGUCUCGUAACUCAUGAGCCCCUUGUAUUACACCUGAGUUUAUGCUCAUGAGGUGACUCAUGGUGAGCCCUUAGAUAGCUUCAGGACAGGUCCUGGUUUGAGCCAUGUGAUAUCAGCACGACCUCCCAACCUCCAGGGAGAAGAUGGGGCCUGGAGAUUGAGUUCCAUCACAUGGCCAGUGAUUCAAUCAAGCUUGCUUAUGUAAUGGAACCCUAAGAAAAACUGGGCUACUGAAGCUCUGUGAAACCUCCUGGCUGGUGAACACACAGAUGUGCCAGGAGAGUAAUAUGCCCUGAUUCCACGGGGAGAGGGCACAGAAGCUCUGUGUUUGGGAACUUCCCAAGCAUAGCCCUCUAUGUCUUUUCAUUUGGCUGGUCCUUUAUAAUAAAACUAAAAUCAUAAAUAUUCUGCUUUCCUGAGCUCUGUGAGUCAUUAUAAUGAAAUAUUGAACCUAGGGUGUCAUGGGAACCCUUGAAUCUGUACCAGUUGGUCAAAAGUGCAGGUGGCCUGGGGACCCCCAAGGUGAGGACAGUCUUGCUGGGCACUGACCAUGCCCUUAAACCUGUGGAGUUUGACGCUAACUCCAGGUGGUUAGUAUCAGGAUUGGAUUUUAGUAAGCUAGUUGGUAUCAGGACAGAUUCCACUUUUUACCCCUAACCGCAAAAGGCUGUCAGAUACUCUGCUCAGCUUCUCAAGCUCUCAACUGCUUCUUCUGGACUCAACUGAUGCCCACUGGGGAAAGGCAACACUAAAUGCUGAGCUUGCCUCUCUAGCUUUCCUUCUGAAUUUUGGCCCUAUAAUUUCUCGUUGCCCUGUUAGAACUUCAGUCCUUCAGUCAGAUGUUUUCAUAUUCUGUCUGGAUUUUCUAUUUGUCGUCAGUGGAAAGUUUGCUCUGCAUUAUCCAGUCUACCAUUAAUGGAAACAUAAAUCCCUCUUCUCAUAGAUUUUUUUUUUCAUUGUGGUUAAAUACACAUUGACAUAAAAUAUAUCAUUUGAACCGUUUUAAAGUGUACAAUUCAGUGACAUUUAGUAUAUUUUCAAUGUUCUACAACCGUCACCACUAUCUAGUUCCAGAAUAUUUUCGUCACCUCAAAAGGAAACCCCACAUCCAUUAAAAAGUCAUUCCCCAUUCCAUCUCCCCCAGCCCCUGGCAGCCACUAAUCUGCUUUCUGUCUCCAUGGAUUUGCCUAUUUUGGGUAUUUCAGAGAAAUGAAAUCAUGCAGUAUGUGGCCUUUUGUGUCUGGCUUCUUUCACUUAGUAUGUUUUCAAGGUCAUAGAUUUUUUUUAUGUGG
ensembl:lncRNA